rnacentral:ncRNA from 1 species
ACGUUUUCCAUUACCGAAGCGAUGGGUUUGAUAUUUAGCUGAUUAUUUUUCAGCGUAAUAUCCCCUUUGGCGAUGGUAUCUUGACCAUUUAAAGGAAUGUCCAGAUGUAAGCGCCCGCUAACGUUACCCGUUACUUCUACUUCAUCUAACGCGGAACCCACUGAAGAUUUCAACGGUGAAUUGUUCAUGUAAUCCCGCACAUCCAAACCUUCACCGCUCACAUCGGCAGCAAUCGUCAGCUGUUGUUUAGCAAAAUUGGCAAUCACCGCCUCAAUAUUGUUACCAUCAACCUUACCCAGUUUGGCCGUCGGGGCAUCCAUCCAUAAACCGUCAUUAAUAAAAUCCAGAUUGAUGGUCAUAUCCGUCAACGGUUGCCAGGUCGGCUGAAAUUUAAAGGUGGUUUCUUUUAACGGUGCA